GGACUUCUCAAAUUCUGUGAUUUUUUUUUAAUGGCCUCCUCAGAAGGGUGACAAGAGAGGAGGGCCAGGUGUUUAUAAAGUGGCCUGGGAUCCUCAUUGUAAUCUUCUCCACCUGAGGGCCACCUCCGAGGUCCCUCAUGGCUCUGCCAGUUUGGACCCUGAUGCUGCUGGUGGGGGCUGCCUGGGGCCAGGAACAAGUGCCUGCGUGGAGACCGAACUCUCCAGACCUGGGGCCGAUGGUGCACACUUCGAGGGAGGAUUCCAUUCUCUCCAAGUGUGACUUUGAAGACAAUUCCAGACCUUUCUGUGACUGGUCUCAAAUGUCUGCAGAUGAUGGGGACUGGAUUCGGACUACUGGACCCUCCCUGACGGGCACUUCUGGCCCCCCUGGGGGGUACCCCAAUGGAGAGGGGUAUUACCUGCACAUGGAUCCCAAGACCUUCCCUCAGGGCGGAGUGGCACGCCUGCGUAGCCCUGACAUAUGGGAGCAAGGCCCCCUUUGCGUCCAUUUUGCUUUCCACAUGUUCGGGCUGUCAUGGGGCGCCCAGCUCAGACUGCUGCUGCUCAGGGGCCGGAAGCACCUCCGGCCCUAUGUACUCUGGAAACAUGUGAACACCCAGAGUCCCUCUUGGAUGCCCACCACUGUCACUGUACCAGCAGAUCAUGAUAUACCAAGCUGGCUGAUGUUUGAAGGCAUGAGAGGAAACACCGCCUACCUGGACAUCUCUUUGGAUGGCCUCUCUAUCCAGCGGGGUACCUGCAAUCAGGUCUGCAUGUCCCAGAUGUGCACCUUUGAUACUCUAAAUGAUCUCUGCGGCUGGAGCUGGGUCCCAACUGCCACUGGGGCUAAGUGGACCCAGAAGAAGGGACCAACAGGGAAGCAGGGUGUGGGGCCUGCUGAAGACUUCUCUAACCCUGGUAAUGGCUACUACAUGCUCCUGGACUCUACGAAUGCAAGGCCAGGACAGAAAGCUGUUCUUCUGAGUCCCCUGAGCCACUCCAGAGGCUGUAUGACCCUGUCUUUCCACUACAUAAUGCAUGGCCAGGGACAUGAAGAAGGCCUUUUUGUUUAUGCUACGUUUUUGGGCAACAUCCGGAAAUAUACUCUCUUCUCGGGGCAUCCUGGACCUGACUGGCAGGCUGUGUCUGUCAAUUACACAGGACAGGGACAGAUACAGUUCAUGGUAGUGGGUAUGUUUGGAAAUAUACCAGAGCCAGCAAUAGCUGUGGAUGCCAUCAGCAUAGCUCCCUGUGGAGAGAGCUUUCCCCAGUGCGACUUCGAAGACAGAGUCCAUCCUUUCUGCGACUGGAACCAGGUGUAUGGAGACAUGGGACACUGGAGCUGGGGAAGUAAAAGUGUACCCACCCUCAUUGCAGGGUCCCCAAGAGAGUUCCCAUAUGGAGGGGAGCAUUACAUUUUCUUCGAUUCAGUGAAGUUAUCCCAGGAGGGGCAGUCUGCCAGGUUGGUGAGUCCACCAUUCUGUGCCCCUGGGGACAUCUGUGUGGAGUUUGCUUACCACAUGUACGGCCUUGGCAAAGGUACCACACUCAAGCUCCUGUUGGGAAGUCCUGCGGGUAGUUUUCCCAUUCCUCUGUGGAACCGUGUUGGGUCUCAGAGCUCUGGCUGGAUGAACAGCUCUGUCACCAUCCCUAAGGGAUAUCAGCAGCCCAUGCAGUUGUUUAUUGAGGCCACCCGGGGCACCAGCACUGCCUUUGUUGUCGCUCUGAACUUCAUCUUGAUCUCUCAUGGACCAUGUCGGGUAUUGCUGCAGACAGAGAUUCCUUCCAGUCCUCUGCUUCCACCUACUGGCCCUUCUGAAUCUACUGUUCCUACGCUCCCCAUGGAGCAGCCCACCAGCCCUACAAAAGCAACCACUGUUACCAUAGAAAUACCCACCACUCCCACGGAAGAGGCCACCAUCCCCACAGAAACAACCACUGUCCCCACAGAAGUGAUCAAUGUCUCUCCUAAAGAGACCAGUAUCCCCCCUGAGGUGACCAUUCCUACAGAAGUUAUCACUGUAUCUCCUGAAGAGAUCAUUUCCCCCACAGAGGUGACCCCUGUCCCCACAGACGUAACAGCUGCCUACGUGGAAGCGACCAAUGCCUCUCCUGAAGAGACCAGUGUCCCCCCUGAGGUGACCAUCCUUACAGAAGUUACCACUGUUUCUCCUGAAGAGACCACUGUCCCCACAGAAGUUCCUAUUGUCCUCAUAGAAGCAACCGCAUUCCCCACUGGAGAGACCACUCUCUACACAGAAGUGCCCACUGUACCCACUGAAGUGACAGGUGUUCACACAGAAGUGACCAAUGUCUCUCCUGAAGAGACCAGUGUCCCCACUGAGGAGACUAUCUCUACAGAAGUUACCACUGUUUCUCCUGAAGAGACCACUCUCCCCACAGAAGUGCCUACUGUGUCCACAGAAGUGACUAAUGUCUCUCCUGAAGAGACCAGUGUUCCUCCUGAGGAGACCAUCCUUACCACUCUCUACACAGAAGUGCCCACUGUACCCACUGAAGUGACAGGUGUUCACACAGAAGUGACCAAUGUCUCUCCUGAAGAGACCAGUGUCCCCACUGAGGAGACUAUCUCUACAGAAGUUACCACUGUUUCUCCUGAAGAGACCACUCUCCCCACAGAAGUGCCUACUGUGUCCACAGAAGUGACUAAUGUCUCUCCUGAAGAGACCAGUGUUCCUCCUGAGGAGACCAUCCUUACAGAAAUAACCACUGUUUCUCCUGAAGAGACUGUUUUUCCCAUAGAAGGGACCACUCUCCCCACAGAAGUGCUUACUGUCCCCAUAGAAGUAACCACUUUUCCCACUGGGGAGACCACUGUUCCCACAGAAGUGCCCACUGUCUCCACAGAAAUGACAGGUGUUCACACAGAAGUGACCACUGUGUUUCCUGAAGAGACCAGCAUCCCUACAGAAGUGGCCACUGUUCUUCCUGCCAGCAUUCCUCCUGAGGAGACCACCACCCCAACAGAAGUGACCACUACCCCUCCUGAAGAGACCACCAUCCCUGCAGAAGUGACCACUAUUCCUCCUGUCAGCAUCCCUUCUGAGGAGACCACCACCCCAACAGAAGUGACCACUACCCCUCCUGAAGAGACCACCAUCCCUGCAGAAGUGACCACUGUUCCUCCUGUCAGCAUCCCUUCUGAGGAGACCACCACCCCAACAGAAGUGACCACUACCCCUCCUGAAGAGACCACCAUCCCUGCAGAAGUGACCACUGUUCCUCCUGUCAGCAUCCCUUCUGAGGAGACCACCAUUCCUACAGAAGUAACCACUGUCCCUCCUGAAGAGACCACCAUCCCUGCAGAAGUGACCACUACCCCUCCUGAAGAGACCACCAUCCCUACAGAAGUGACCACUGUUCCUCCUGCCAGCAUCCCUCCUGAGGAGACCGCCUCCCUGACAGAAGUGACCACUACCCCUCCUGAGGAGACCACCACCCCAACAGAAGUGACCACUGUCCCUCCUGAAAAGACCACCAUCCCUACAGAAGUGACCACUGUUCCUCCUGCCAGCAUCUUUCCUGAGGAAACCACUGUCCCUCCUGAAGAGACCACCAUUGCUUCUGAAGAGACCACUGUCUCCACUCAAGAGACCACUCUCCUUACAGAGCAAUCUGCUGUCACUCAAACAUCCAUAGCAUGCAGACCACCCUGUCCAAGUCCUCCACUAAUGCCCAUCGGACCACUCCUUUCAAAGCCUCCAGGUGUGUCAAUGUUCAGCCUGGCCCCGACUACAGGUGUUUCUACCACAGAGAGCUGCCCUCCAAAUGCCCACAUUGAAUUGUGUGCAUGCCCAGCAUCCUGUGAGAGCCCCAAGCCCAGCUGCCAGCCCCCCUGCAUUCCUGGCUGUGUCUGUAACCCUGGGUUUUUGUUUAGUAAUAAUCAAUGUAUCAAUGAGUCUUCCUGCAAUUGUCCCUACAACAACAAGUACUAUAAGCCUGGGGAAGAAUGGUUCACUCCCAAUUGCACAGAGCGGUGCCGCUGCUUGCCGGGUAGCCUGAUGGAGUGCCAGAUCUCUCAGUGUGGGACGCAUACGGUAUGCCAGCUGAAGAGUGACCAGUACCAGUGUGAGCCCUAUGGUAAAGCCACUUGCCUGGUCUAUGGGGACCUUCAUUUUGUCACCUUUGAUGAGAGGCACAUUGGCUUCACAGGGACAUGUACCUACAUCUUGACACAAACCUGCAGCAACUCCACAGACCACUUCUUUAGGAUAACAGCAAACACCGAAGAACGUGGAGUAGAAGGUGUAUCCUGCCUGGACAAAGUUGUCAUCUCUCUGCCAGAGACUACCGUUACCAUGAUCAGUGGCAGACACACAUUGAUUGGGGAUCAGGAAGUCACCCUCCCAGCCAUACUUUCUGAUGACACCUAUGUGGGUCUGAGUGGGAGAUUUGUGGAGCUGAGGACAACAUUUGGUUUGCGUGUGAGAUGGGAUGGUGACCAGCAGCUUUUUGUGACUGUGUCCAGUACCUUCUCGGGCAAACUCUGUGGUUUCUGUGGGAACUAUGACGGGGACAGCAGCAACGACAACCUGAAGUCAGAUGGCAUGAUGACACACGAUGAGGAGGAGCUGAGGCUGAGCUGGCAGGUGGAAGAGGAUGAGGACAAGGAUUGGGUCUCUUCCAGGUGUCAGAAGAAGAAGAAUCCCCCAUCUUGUGACGCUGCUUUGGGGAGCACUAUGUCGGGACCCAAGUUAUGUGGACAGCUUGUCAACCCAAGUGGACCCUUUGAGGCAUGCCUGCUCCACCUGAAGGCCUCAUCCUUCCUGGAUAACUGUGUGACUGACAUGUGUAGCUUCCAAGGUCUCCAGCAGAAGCUCUGUGCUCACAUGUCAGCCAUGACGGCCACCUGCCAGGAUGCCGGCUAUCCUGUGAAGCCCUGGAGGGAACCCCAGUUCUGCCCUUUGGUCUGCCCUAAAAAUAGCAGGUACUCACUAUGUGCCAAACCAUGCCCGGAAACCUGCCAUCCUAUAUCUACUACCCAGCACUGCUCAGACAAGUGUGUGGAAGGCUGCGAGUGUGACCCUGGCUUCAUCCUCAGUGGUUCUGAGUGUGUCCCUUCAUCCCAGUGUGGGUGCACCAGCUUCCAGGGGCGCUACUUCAAGCUACAGGAGCAGUGGUUUAAUCCAGACUGCAAGGAGAUCUGCACUUGUGAAAGCCACAACCAUAUUCUCUGCAAGCCCUGGAAAUGUAAGGCUCAGGAAGCCUGUAGCUAUAAGAAUGGCGUCUUAGGCUGUCAUGCCCAAGGAGCAGCCACCUGCAUGGUGUCUGGUGACCCCCACUACCUGACGUUCGAUGGGGCUUUGCAUCAUUUCAUGGGCACCUGCACUUAUGUACUGACCCAGCCUUGCUGGUCUAAAUCUCAAGAGAACAACUUCGUCGUGAGCGCCACCAACGAGAUACAUGAUGGCAACUUGGAAGUCUCCUACGUCAAAGCUGUCCAUGUGCAGGUCUUUGACCUCAAAAUCUCCAUGUUCAAAGGUCAAAAGGUUGUGCUGAACAACCAAAGGGUGGUGCUACCCGUGUGGCCUUCGCAAGGACGGGUGACCAUUAGGUUGAGUGGCAUCUUUGUCCUGCUCUACACGAACUUUGGGCUUCAAGUUCGAUACGAUGGAAGGCACCUGGUGGAGGUGACAGUGCCUUCCUCAUACACCGGCUCACUCUGUGGGCUGUGUGGGAACUACAACAAUAACAGUAUGGAUGACAAUUUGCGUGUAGACAUGAAGCCAGCAGGCAACUCACUUCUGCUGGGAGCUGCUUGGAAAAUCCUUGAAGCCUCUGACCCUGGCUGCUUUCUAGUCGGGGGCAAGCCCUCCCGCUGCGCGGACAGCGACAUGGAUGAUGUCUGGACUAAGAAAUGUGCCAUCUUGAUGAACCCUCUUGGGCCUUUCUCCAAUUGCCACGAGGCGGUGCCCCCGCAGGCCAGCUUCUCCAGUUGUGUGUAUGGCCAGUGUGAGACCAACGGAGACAACCUAACCCUCUGCCACUCCCUGCAGGCCUAUGCAUCUCUGUGUGCCCAGGCCGGCCAGGUGACUACCUGGCGCAACAGCACCUUCUGCCCUAUGAGGUGCCCACCUAGGAGCAGCUACAACCCAUGUGCCAACUCCUGCCCAGCCACCUGCCUUACCCUGAGCACCCCAAGAGACUGUCCAACGCUGCCCUGUGUAGAGGGCUGUGAAUGCCAGAGUGGCCACAUCCUGAGUGGAACCACCUGUGUGCCCCUCAGACAGUGUGGCUGCAGUGACCAGGACGGCUCCUAUCACCUGUUGGGGGAGAGCUGGUACACAGAGAAGACCUGCACCACCCUCUGCACAUGCUCAGCCCACAGCAACAUCACCUGCAGCCCAACGGCCUGCAAGGCCAACCACGUGUGUUUGCGCCAGGAAGGACUGCUACGCUGCGCUGCAGAGAUGGGAGAGUGUCGCAUCUCAGAGGAUUCCCAGAUCGUGAGCUUUGAUGAUCAUAGCCAUCCUAUCCAAGACACAUGUACUUACAUCUUGGUCAAAGUAUGCCACCCCAACACGAACAUGCCUUUCUUCAUGAUCAGUGCCAAGACCGACAUAAACACCAACGGCAAAAACAAGACUUUCGGUGUCUAUCAGCUCUACAUUGACAUCUUCAACUUCCACAUCACUCUUCAGAAAGACCAUUUAGUCCUCAUAAGCUUGAUCAAUGACUCAAUAGUCACCCUUCCCACCACCACCCACAUCCCAGGAGUCAGUGUCAUGACUGAAGACGUCUAUACCAUUGUCACAAUUAAGGAUGAAAUUCAAGUCAAGUUUGAGAGCAAUAAUUUCUUAGAUGUCAAAAUCCCUGCAUCCUCUAAUGGGAAGGUCUGCGGUGUGUGUGGCAAUUUCAACGGCGAAGAAGAGGAUGAGCUCAUGACACCCAGUGGUGAACUAGCAGAGGAUGAGCAGGAGUUCAUGAAUAGCUGGAAAGAUAAGAGCAUGGACCCAAAUUGCCAGAAAAUCGAAGGGCAGAACCUCCAAGUGGAACAGCAGGAGAUCAUGAAUGGAAAAUGCAGGCCCAUUGACUUUGAGAAAGCCCAGGCAAACUGCCAAACUGCCCUUCAGGGUCCUGCCUGGGCCCAUUGUUCCUCCCGGGUACCCAUCAAGCCCUUCUUGCUGAAGUGUAUGAACAGCUUCUGUGAAUUCAGAGAGCUCUUCCGUGCUCUUUGUGAUUCUCUGCAGUCCUUUGAAGAUGCCUGCCAGAACCAGGGGCUCAAGCCACCUAUCUGGAGGAACAGCAGCUUCUGCCCUCUGGAGUGUCCAGCUCACAGUCACUAUACAAACUGCCUUCCCUCCUGUCCACCUUCCUGCUUGGAUCCAGACAGCCGCUGUGAGGGCUCUGGCCACAAAGUCCCCGCCACCUGCAGGGAGGGCUGCAUCUGCCAACCUGACUAUGUGCUGCUUAACGACAAGUGUGUGCUCAGAUCUCAUUGUGGCUGCAAAGAUGCUCAGGGUGUCUUCAUCCCGGCAGGCAAGACUUGGAUAUCCGAAGACUGUACCCAGAGCUGUACCUGCAUGAAAGGAAGCAUGAGGUGCUGGGAUUUCCAGUGUCCCCCAGGGACAUACUGCAAGAACAGCAAUGAUGGCAGCAGUAACUGUGUCAAAAUCUCUCUGCAGUGCCCAGCCCACAGCAAGUUCACAGACUGCCUUCCCCCCUGUCAUCCUUCCUGCUCUGACCCCGACGGCCACUGUGAGGGCAUCAGCACCAAUGCCCACUCUAACUGCAAAGAGGGCUGCGUGUGUCAACCUGGCUAUGUGCUGCGCAACGACAAGUGUGUGCUCAGAAUUGAGUGUGGCUGCCAACAUACCCAGGGUGGUUUCAUCCCUGCAGGCAAGAGCUGGACUUCCAGAGGCUGUUCCCAGAGCUGUGACUGCAUGGAAGGGGUCAUUCGAUGCCAGAAUUUCCAGUGUCCCUCGGGGACUUACUGCCAGGACAUUGAGGAUGGCACCAGCAACUGUGCCAAUAUCACUCUGCAGUGCCCCGCCCACAGCAGCUUCACCAACUGCCUUCCACCCUGUCAGCCUUCCUGCUCGGACCCAGAAGGCCACUGUGGGGGCUCCACCACCAAAGCCCCCUCCGCCUGCCAGGAGGGCUGUGUCUGUGAACCUGACUAUGUGGUGCUUAACAACAAGUGUGUGCCCAGAAUUGAGUGUGGCUGCAAAGAUGCCCAGGGUGUCCUCAUCCCUGCAGACAAGAUCUGGAUCAACAAAGGCUGCACACAAACCUGUGCCUGUGUGACAGGGACCAUCCACUGCAGGGACUUCCAGUGUCCCUCAGGGACCUACUGCAAGGACAUCAAGGAUGACACCAGUAACUGCACUGAAAUCACUCUGCAGUGCCCGGACCACAGCCUCUACACCCACUGCCUUCCCUCCUGCCUGCCUUCCUGCUCUGACCCAGAUGGCCUCUGUAGAGGCACCAGCCCCGAAGCCCCCUCCACCUGCAAGGAGGGCUGCGUUUGUGAACCUGACUAUGUGCUGAGUAACGACAAGUGUGUGCUCAGAAUUGAGUGUGGCUGCAAAGAUGCUCAGGGUGUUCUCAUCCCGGCAGGUAAGACUUGGAUCAACAGGGGCUGCACCCAGAGCUGUUCUUGCAUGGGAGGGGCCAUCCAGUGCCAGAAUUUCAAGUGUCCCUCAGAGGCUUACUGCCAGGACCUGGAGGACGGCAACAGCAACUGCACCAGUAUUCCUCUCCAGUGCCCGGCCCACAGCCACUACACCAACUGCCUUCCAACCUGUCAGCCUUCCUGCUCGGACCCUGAUGGCCACUGUGAGGGUUCUAGCACCAAAGCGCCCUCUGCCUGCAAGGAGGGCUGUGUCUGUGAACCUGACUAUGUGAUGCUUAACAACAAGUGUGUGCCCAGAAUUGAGUGUGGCUGCAAAGACACCCAGGGUGUCCUCAUCCCUGCAGAUAAGACCUGGAUCAACAGAGGCUGUACUCAGAGCUGCACCUGCAAGGGAGGGGCCAUCCAGUGCCAGAAAUAUCACUGCUCCUCAGGGACUUACUGCAAGGACAUGGAGGAUGACAGCAGUAGCUGUGCCACAAUCACUCUGCAGUGCCCCGCCCACAGCCACUUCACCAACUGCCUUCCACCCUGUCAGCCUUCCUGCUUGGACUCAGAAGGCCACUGUGAGGGCUCCACCACCAAAGCCCCCUCCGCCUGCCAGGAGGGCUGUGUCUGCGAACCUGACUAUGUGGUGCUUAACAACAAGUGUGUGCCCAGAAUUGAGUGUGGCUGCAAAGAUGCCCAGGGUGUCCUCAUCCCUGCAGAUAAGACCUGGAUCAACAGAGGCUGUACUCAGAGCUGCACCUGCAAGGGAGGGGCCAUCCAGUGCCAGAAAUUUCAGUGUCCCUCAGAGACUUACUGCAAGGACAUCGAGGACGGCAACAGUAACUGCACCAGAAUCUCUCUGCAGUGCCCAGCCAACAGCAACUUCACCAGCUGCCUGCCUUCUUGUCAGCCCUCCUGCUCUAAUACGGAUGUCCACUGUGAGGGAUCCAGCCCCAACGCUCUCUCCUCCUGCAGGGAGGGCUGUGUCUGUCAAUCUGGCUACGUGUUGCAUAAUGACAAGUGUAUACUCAGAAAUCAGUGUGGCUGCAAAGAUGCCCAGGGUGCUCUCAUCCCAGAAGGCAAGACCUGGAUCACCAGCGGCUGUACUCAGAGCUGUAACUGCACAGGAGGGGCCAUCCAGUGCCAGAAUUUUCAGUGUCCCUUGAAGACUUACUGCAAGGACCUCAAGGAUGGCAGCAGUAACUGCACCAAUAUCCCUCUGCAGUGCCCGGCCCAUAGCCACUACACCAACUGCCUUCCAUCCUGUCCACCCUCGUGCUUGGACCCCGAGGGCCUCUGUGAGGGCACCAGCCCUAAAGUUCCCUCCACCUGCAGGGAGGGCUGCAUCUGCCAACCUGGCUACCUGAUGCAUAAAAACAAGUGUGUGCUCAGAAUCUUCUGUGGCUGCAAAAACACCCAGGGUGCUUUCAUCUCAGCAGACAAGACGUGGAUCUCCAGGGGCUGCACCCAGUCCUGUACCUGCUCAGCAGGAGCCAUCCACUGCAGAAAUUUCAAGUGUCCCUCCGGGACCUACUGCAAGAAUGGGGAUAAUGGCAGCUCUAACUGCACCGAAAUCACUCUACAAUGCCCAACCAACAGCCAAUUCACAGACUGCCUUCCCUCCUGUGUGCCUUCUUGUUCCAACCGCUGUGAGGUCACCAGCCCAAGCGUCCCCUCCAGCUGCAGGGAGGGAUGUCUUUGCAACCAUGGCUUUGUGUUCAGUGAGGACAAAUGUGUGCCCAGAACACAGUGCGGCUGUAAAGAUGCCCGGGGUGCCAUCAUUCCGGCAGGCAAGACCUGGACCUCCAAAGGCUGUACCCAGAGCUGUGCCUGCGUGGAAGGCAAUAUCCAGUGCCAGAAUUUCCAGUGUCCCCCAGAGACCUACUGCAAGGACAACAGUGAAGGCAGCAGUACUUGCACCAAAAUCACUCUCCAGUGCCCGGCCCACACCCAGUACACCAGCUGCCUUCCCUCCUGCCUGCCUUCCUGCUUGGACCCAGAGGGCCUCUGCAAAGAUAUCAGUCCUAAAGUUCCCUCCACCUGCAAGGAGGGCUGCGUGUGCCAAUCUGGCUACGUGCUGAACAGUGACAAGUGUGUGCUCAGGGCUGAGUGUGACUGCAAAGACGCCCAGGGUGCUCUCAUCCCGGCAGGCAAGACCUGGACCUCCCCAGGCUGUACCCAGAGCUGUGCCUGCAUGGGAGGGGCUGUUCAGUGCCAGAGUUCCCAGUGUCCCCCAGGGACUUACUGCAAGGACAAUGAAGAUGGCAACAGUAACUGCGCCAAAAUAACUCUGCAGUGCCCAGCCCACAGCCUAUUCACCAACUGCCUUCCCUCCUGUCUGCCUUCCUGCUUGGACCCGGAUGGCCUCUGUAAGGGAGCCAGUCCCAAAGUCCCCUCCUCUUGCAAGGAAGGCUGCAUCUGUCAAUCUGGCUACGUGCUGAGUAACAACAAGUGCCUGCUCAGAAAUCGUUGUGGCUGCAAAGAUGCUCACGGUGCGCUCAUCCCAGAAGACAAGACCUGGGUCUCCAGAGGCUGCACCCAGAGCUGUGUCUGCACAGGAGGAAGCAUCCAGUGCCUGAGUUUCCAGUGUCCCCCUGGGGCAUACUGCAAGGACAAUGAAGAUGGCAGCAGUAACUGUGCCAGAAUCCCUCCGCAAUGUCCAGCCAACAGCCACUACACUGACUGCUUUCCCCCCUGUCCACCUUCUUGCUCGGACCCAGAGGGCCACUGUGAAGCCUCUGGCCCCAGAGUCCCCUCCACUUGCAGGGAAGGCUGCCUCUGCAACCCUGGCUUUGUGCUCGAUAGGGACAAGUGUGUGCCCAGAGUUGAGUGUGGCUGCAAAGAUGCACAGGGUGCUCUCAUCCCGUCAGGCAAGACCUGGACCUCUCCAGGCUGUACCCAGAGCUGUGCCUGCAUGGGAGGGGUUGUUCAGUGCCAGAGUUCCCAGUGUCCCCCGGGGACUUACUGCAAGGACAAUGAAGAUGGCAACAGUAACUGUGCCAAAAUAACUCUGCAGUGCCCCACCCACAGCAACUACACCGACUGCCUUCCCUUCUGUCUCCCUUCCUGCUUGGACCCCAGUGCCCUCUGUGGGGGCACCAGCCCUAAAGGCCCCUCUACUUGCAAGGAGGGCUGCGUCUGUCAACCUGGCUACGUGCUGGAUAAAGACAAGUGUAUUCUUAAAAUUGAGUGUGGCUGCAGAGACACCCAGGGCGCUGUCAUUCCGGCUGGCAAGACAUGGCUCUCCACAGGCUGUAUCCAGAGCUGUGCCUGCGUGGAAGGGACCAUUCAGUGCCAGAAUUUCCAGUGUCCCCCCGGAACGUACUGCAACCACAACAAUAACUGUGCUAAAAUACCUCUGCAGUGCCCAGCUCACAGCCACUUCACCAGCUGCCUUCCCUCCUGUCCACCUUCCUGUGCCAACCUGGAUGGCAGCUGUGAGCAGACCAGCCCCAAAGUCCCUUCCACCUGCAAGGAGGGCUGCCUCUGUCAACCUGGCUACUUCUUGAAUAAUGGCAAGUGUGUGCUCCAAACUCACUGCGACUGCAAAGAUGCUGAGGGUGGCCUUGUUCCGGCAGGCAAGACCUGGACCUCCAAGGACUGUACCCAGAGCUGUGCCUGCACAGGAGGGGCUGUUCAGUGCCAGAAUUUCCAGUGUCCCUUGGGGACUUACUGCAAAGACAGUGGUGACGGCAGCAGCAACUGCACCAAAAUCCAUAAGGGAGCCAUGGGGGACGGUGUGCUCAUGGCUGGAGGGAUCAGAGCUCUGCAGUGCCCAGCUCACAGCCACUUCACCAGCUGCCUUCCCUCCUGUCCACCUUCCUGCUCCAACCUGGAUGGCAGCUGCGUGGAAUCCAACUUCAAAGCCCCCUCGGUCUGCAAGAAGGGCUGUAUCUGUCAACCCGGCUACUUGUUAAAUAACGAUAAGUGUGUGCUCCGAAUUCAGUGUGGCUGCAAGGACACCCAAGGUGGCCUCAUUCCCGCAGGUAGGACCUGGAUCUCCAGUGACUGUACUAAGAGCUGUAGCUGCAUGGGAGGCAUCAUCCAGUGCAGGGAUUUCCAGUGUCCCCCAGGGACUUACUGCAAGGAGAGCAACGAUAGCAGCAGAACCUGUGCCAAAAUCCCUCUGCAGUGUCCCGCCCACAGCCACUACACAAACUGCCUCCCCGCAUGUUCACGUUCCUGUACUGAUCUGGAUGGCCACUGUGAGGGGACCAGUCCCAAAGUCCCGUCUCCCUGCAAGGAGGGCUGCCUCUGUCAACCUGGCUAUGUGGUGCAUAAUCACAAGUGUGUGCUCCAAAUUCACUGUGGCUGCAAAGACGCCCAGGGUGGCUUUGUCCCGGCAGGCAAGACCUGGAUCUCCAGGGGCUGCACCCAGAGCUGUGCCUGCGUGGGAGGGGCUGUCCAGUGUCACAACUUCACCUGCCCUACAGGGACUCAGUGCCAGAACAGUAGCUGUUCCAAAAUCACUGUACAGUGCCCAGCCCACAGCCACUACACCACCUGCCUUCCCUCAUGUCUACCAUCCUGCUUUGACCCAGAAGGCCUCUGUGGGGAUGCCAGCCCAAGAGCCCCCCCCACCUGCAGGGAGGGCUGUGUCUGUGAAGCUGACUAUGUGCUACGUGAGGACAAGUGCGUGCUCAGAACUCAGUGUGGCUGCAAAGACGCCCAGGGUGAUCUCAUCCCGGCAAACAAGACCUGGCUUACCAGAGGCUGUGCCCAAAAGUGUACCUGCAAAGGAGGGAACAUUCAUUGCUGGAAUUUCAAGUGUCCCUUGGGGACUGAAUGCAAGGACAGUGUUGAUGGAGGCAGUAACUGUACCAAAAUUGCUCUGCAGUGCCCAGCCCACAGCCAUCACACCUACUGCCUACCCUCCUGCAUCCCAUCCUGCUCCAACGUGAAUGACCGCUGUGAGAGCACCAGCCUCCAGAGGCCCUCUACCUGCAUCGAAGGCUGCCUCUGCCACUCGGGCUUUGUGUUCAGUAAGGACAAGUGUGUGCCCAGAACUCAGUGUGGCUGCAAAGACUCCCAGGGUACCCUCAUACCGGCAGGUAAGAACUGGAUUACUACGGGCUGUUCCCAGAGAUGUACCUGCACCGGGGGACUUGUUCAGUGCCACGACUUCCAGUGCCCCUCAGGAGCCGAGUGCCAGGACAUCGAGGACGGCAACAGUAACUGUGUUGAAAUCACUGUGCAGUGCCCGGCCCACAGUCACUACUCCAAAUGCCUUCCACCCUGUCAGCCUUCCUGCUCGGACCCUGAUGGCCACUGUGAGGGCACCAGCCCCGAAGCCCCCUCCACCUGCGAGGAGGGCUGUGUCUGUGAACCUGACUAUGUGCUGAGUAAUGACAAGUGUGUGCCUAGCAGUGAGUGUGGCUGCAAAGACGCCCAUGGCGUUCUCAUCCCGGAAAGCAAGACAUGGGUCUCCAGGGGAUGUACCAAGAACUGCACCUGCAAAGGAGGGACUGUUCAAUGUCACGACUUCAGUUGCCCAACAGGGUCCCGUUGCCUGGACAAUAAUGAGGGCAACAGUAACUGUGUCACCUAUGCUCUGAAAUGCCCGGCCCACAGCCUCUAUACCAACUGCCUUCCCUCCUGUCUCCCUUCCUGCUCGGACCCAGAGGGCCUCUGUGGGGGCACCAGCCCUGAAGUUCCCUCCACCUGCAAGGAGGGCUGCUUCUGUCAAUCUGGCUAUGUGCUGCAUAAAAAUAAAUGUAUGCUUAGAAUUCACUGUGACUGCAAAGACUUCCAGGGUAGCCUCAUUAAGACCGGCCAGACAUGGAUCUCCUCUGGGUGUUCCAAGAUCUGUACAUGCAAGGGAGGGUUCUUUCAGUGCCAGAGUUACAAAUGCCCCUCGGGGACCCAGUGCGAGGAAAGCGAAGAUGGCAGCAGUAACUGUGUCUCCAGCACUAUGAAGUGCCCAGCCAACAGUCUCUACACCCACUGCCUUCCCACCUGUCUACCUUCCUGCUCUAACCCUGAUGGCCGCUGUGAGGGCACCAGCCACAAGGCCCCCUCCACCUGCAGGGAGGGCUGUGUCUGUCAACCUGGCUACCUGCUCAAUAAGGACACGUGUGUGCACAAAAACCAGUGUGGCUGUAAAGAUAUCAGGGGCAACAUCAUCCCGGCAGGCAACACCUGGAUCUCCAGUGACUGUACCCAGAGCUGUGCCUGCACGGAUGGAGUCAUCCAGUGCCAGAAUUUUGUCUGCCCAUCAGGGUCCCACUGCCAGUACAACGAGGAUGGCAGCAGUGACUGUGCAGCCAACAAACUGGAAAGAUGUACCAUCUUUGGGGAUCCCUAUUACCUCACGUUUGAUGGCUUCACUUACCACUUCCUGGGUCGUAUGAACUACUAUCUCAUAAAGACGGUGGACAAGCUCCCAAGAGGGAUUGAGCCCCUGAUCAUGGAGGGACGUAACAAAAUAUCCCCCAAAGGGAGUUCAACCUUGCAUGAAGUGACCACCAUCGUCUAUGGCUAUAAAAUCCAGCUCCAAGAAGAACUAGUGGUUUUGGUCAACGAUGAAAAGGUGGCGGUCCCCUACAAUCCAAACGAGCACCUUCGGGUCAUGCUGCGGGCUCAGCGGCUGCUUCUCGUCACAGACUUCGAAAUGGUGCUGGAUUUUGAUGGAAAACACAGUGCAGUGAUCUCCUUGCCUACCACAUACCGUGGGCUGACACGGGGCCUGUGUGGAAACUAUGACAGGGACCAGUCCAAUGAACUCAUGCUGCCCAGUGGAGUACUCACCUCAAAUGUCCAUGUCUAUGGCAACAGUUGGGAGGUGAAGGCGCAGCAUGCCUUCUUCCGCUUCCCAAGGGCCCUACCAGAAGAAGAGGAAAGAGACGAAGAGCCUGACCUUCUCCAAUCAGAAUGCAGCCAAGAGCAGACUGCGCUUAUCAGCAGCACCCAGGCCUGUAGGGUGCUUGUGGACCCCCAGGGACCCUUUGCUGCAUGUCACCAGAUCAUAGCCCCAGAGCCCUUUGAGCAGCGCUGUAUGUUGGAUAUGUGCACUGGCUGGAAGACCAAAGAAGAAGAGGAACUUCGAUGUCGUGUCCUCAGUGGCUAUGCCAUCAUUUGCCAGGAGGCAGGCGCCAACAUGACUGGUUGGCGGGACCACACACACUGUGCCCCUGAGUGCUGGGUUACAAGCCACCGUGCCCACCCUCCCAGCAUCCACCUGUGUCCAUCGUGUCCGUGUCCCAGACAAGCUCUUCAGUCAGACCCAGCCUGCUAGUCCUGGGCUCCCUGUCUGCAGGGAUCGCUGUUGGCCAUGACAUGUCCUGCCAAUACUGUGUACCAGCGCUGCAUGACACCCUGCCCGGCGUCCUGUGCCAAAUUUGUGACCCCCAAGGUCUGUGAAGGCCCCUGCGUGGAAGGCUGUGCCAGCCUCCCCGGCUACAUUUACAGUGACACACAGAGCCUCCCAGUGACACACUGCGGCUGCACCGCCGAUGGCAUCUAUUACAAGCUGGGUGACAGCUUUGUAACUAACGACUGCUCCCAGCACUGUACCUGUGCAAGCCAGGGGAUCCUGCUGUGUGAGCCCUAUGGCUGCAGAGCUGGGGAGUCCUGCAUGGUGGCCAACUUUACUCGAGGCUGCUUCCAGGACAGCCCUUGUCUGCAGAACCCCUGUCACAAUGAUGGCCGGUGUGAGGAGCAGGGGGCCACCUUCAUCUGCCACUGUGACUUCGGUUAUGGAGGAGAAUUCUGCACAGAGCCUCAGGAUAUCACAACCAGAAAAAAGAUAGAAGCAUCCAGCUUAGUGGCCAUCCUGCCGGGAGUGCUUGUGAUGGUGUUAGUCCCUGUCUUACUGCCCAGAGUGUAUGUUUACAUGGCAACAAGAACAACCAUGGGGAGGAGGAGGAUGAAGAGGAAAGAGAAGAAACUGUUGAGACAAAGUAGACUUAGGCUGGAGGAUGCAGAUGUUCCAGAGCCUACCUUCAAAGCCACCGAGUUCUGAGCU